rnacentral:piRNA from 1 species
UGUGACACAGAGUCAGGUCCAGGGCAC